rnacentral:rRNA from 1 species
GUUGAACGCUGGCGGCAGGCCUAACACAUGCAAGUCGAACGAGUGGCGGACGGGUGAGUAAUUUCUGGGCACCUGCCCGAUGGAGGGGGAUAACUACUGGAACCGGUAGCUAAUACCGCAUACCAUCGGAUGUGCCCAUAUGGGAUUAGCUAGUAGGUGGGGUAACGGCUCACCUAGGCGACGAUCCCUAGCUGGUCUGAGAGGAUGACCAGCCACACUGGGACUGAGACACGGUCCAGACUCCGACGGGAGGCAGAAGUGGGGAAGAUUGCACAAUGGGCGAAAGCCUGAUGCAGCCAUGCCGCGUGUAUGAAGAAGGCCUGCGGGUUGUAAAGUACUUUCAGCGAGGAGGCGUUACUCGCAGAAGAAGCACCGGCUAACUCCGUGCCAGCAGCCGCGGUAAUUC